AUGGGGUGUUUGUACUUUGCUUUUAUUCUUUACUUCUUUCAGGUUGGUCAAAAAGGGAAAAAAGAGAACAGUAGAGGAAGUCAAGAAGCUACCCAGAAUGCUAAUGUAAGGAUGUCGCGAGAACCUAAUCAGUCAUUCUCAGGAUGCAAACCACCCUUGGAAAUGCAGCAGAAUCAGGAUCGCUCUCCCACCCCCAACUUACUAAGCCUCCUGCACAUUAAAGACUGAGAAGCACCACCCAAGAUGAAAAGACUGCAAGUGGGGAUCCCUGGGUGGCUCAGCAGUCUAGCGCCUGCCUUCAGCCCAGGGCGUGAUCCUGGAGACCCGGGAUCGAGUCCCAUGUUGGGCUCCCUGCAUGGAGCCUACUUCUCUCUCUGCCUCUCUCUCUCUCUCUCUCUCUCUCUCUCUGUGUGUGUCUCUCAUGAGUAAAUAAAUAAAAUCUUUAAUAAGUAAAUAAAAGACUC
rnacentral:lncRNA from 12 species